AUACGUAGGGUGCGAGCGUUUUCCGGAAUUACUGGGCGUAAAGAGCUCGUAGGUGGUUUGUCGCGUCGUCUGUGAAAUUCCGGGGCUUAACUCCGGGCGUGCAGGCGAUACGGGCAUAUCUUGAGUACUGUAGGGGAGACUGGAUUUCCUGGUGUAGCGGUGAAAUGCUCAGAUAUCAGGAGGAACACCGGUGGCGAAGGCGGGUCUCUGGGCAGUAACUGACGCUGAGGAGCGAAAGCAUGGGUAGCGAACAGGAUUAGAUACCCUGGUAGUCCAUGCCGUAAACGGUGGGCGCUAGGUGUAGGGGUCUUCCACGACUUCUGUGCCGUAGCUAACGCAUUAAGCGCCCCGCCUGGGGAGUACGGCCGCAAGGCUAAAACUCAAAUGAAUUGACGGGG
rnacentral:rRNA from 1 species